UCUGAUGACCAUAGCAAAAGUGAACCACCUGAUACCAUUUCGAACUCAGAAGUGAAACCUUUUAGCGCCGAUGGUAGUGUGGUUGCGACCACGUGAGAGUAGGACAUCGUCAGAC
rnacentral:rRNA from 1 species